GUAGGUGGCAAGCGUUGUCCGGAUUUACUGGGCGUAAAGAGCGCGCAGGCGGCCGAGUCAGUCGAAUGUGAAAGCCCCCGGCUCAACUGGGGAGGGUCAUUCGAUACUGCACGGCUAGAAGGUGGGAGAGGGAAGCGGAAUUUCGGUGUAGUGGUGAAAUGCGUAGAUAUCUGAAGGAACACCAGUGGCGAAGGCGGCUUUCUGGCCCAUUCUUGACGCUGAGGCGCGAAAGCUAGGGGAGCAAACGGGAUUAGAUACCCCGGUAGUCCUAGCCGUAAACGAUGAACACUAGAUGUUGGUGGUAUCAACCCCGCCAGUGUCGUAGCUAACGCAUUAAGUGUUCCGCCUGGGGAGUACGGCCGCAAGGCUA
rnacentral:rRNA from 1 species